UCGAGACAAAUGCAUAGCCUGCUUGUCAGUCCAUUCAUCAUUAAAGCUUUGGUUUUCCACAUCAACUUUUCUCCUCAGCCUCUUUGACAGUGACAUGUUUACCUGACAACAGCCAUUUCUUUCUGCAGGCAUUUUCCAGCAAUCAGGACACUGCAUACUACAACGACGUUUACAUAAUCACUAACUUUAACCAUCACUCCUCAGCGAACUGCCUCGUAGUCUGAGAUCAUUUUGUAGUUAAAGAGCCAGUUAUCAUUAUGGAGUUUCCAUGUUUUUUAGGGGUUUGCUCACACUAAUACAUU